rnacentral:rRNA from 1 species
AUGAUAUUACCCAUACAACGGUGUUUGGAUAAUAGAUCAAGAAACAUUCGACAAUGUGCUUCCAAUGUUCUUGUUGAUAUUCGGAAUACCUCAAUCAUGUUUCGAGGUAGAAUUAACAUGGUGUUCCAAGUAGGGGUUGGAGUUGAAGAUCACAAGAAAUACUCAAGAACAAUUGCAGGAAUAGCAAGGAGCCCAAGGUAUAACCAAGACAUGAUCAAACAUGUGUUGGAAAGAAGACAAAGGGGGGUAGUCGAUGAUAACUCAAAUCAUCGUAGGUCAAGGAUGGUAUUUCUCACCAUGAAUUCAAUUAUCAUUUCAACAGAAGUCAAAAUGUUGAUGCUGAUCACGACGCAUUUGUCGAGAGGCUCUAUGAAGAUGCCAUCGAGGAGCGAUGCCAUCAAGCAACAGGAAGGAUGA